CCCCCUCAGUAGUACAGGUGAGUGAGUGCGGCGUCAUGAGACUCGGUCCGAGCCACGGACUGUAUUAACCAGAACCGAACUGACCCGAACUGACCCGAGCGGAGGAGACCUAGAUCUGGUUCCGUAUGACUCCAUGAAUGACCUCUGACCUGUGAAGCCCCGCCCCCUCCAGGCCCGUCCAAUCACGCGCAGCCGUAACGAUGGUUUGCCAUGACAAUGAGAGUAUCAAGUUCUUCUACGACAUCAGCAGGAAGAACAUCAGCGACACGUGGAGGACUAAAGACUACGUGGUGGUGUCUCUGGGCCUGCUGGUCUCUGUUUUCGUCAUCUUCACCAACAUCCUGGUCAUGCUGGCCAUCUUCAUGAACCGCAGGUUCCACUACCCCAUCUACUACCUGCUGGGGAACCUGGCGGCAGCCGACCUGUUCGCAGGCAUCUCCUACAUGUACCUGAUGUUCCACACGGGCCCCUGGACCAUCAAGCUGUCCACCAGUCAGUGGUUUAUCCGGCAGGGUUUGAUCGACACCAGUCUGACGGCGUCGGUCAUUAAUCUGAUGGCCAUUGCACUGGAGCGCCACCAGACAAUCUUCACCAUGCAGCUGCACAGUAAAAUGAGCAACCACCGGGUGGUGCUGCUGAUCAUCGGCAUCUGGCUCAUCGCCAUACUGUUGGGUUUGGUGCCCUCGAUGGGAUGGAGCUGCUUGUGCAACACCAGUGUGUGCUCGAACAUGGCACCACUCUACAGCCGCAGCUACCUGGUGUUCUGGGCCGUGCUCAACCUGCUGACCUUCACUGUCAUGCUGGCCGUUUACAUGCGCAUCUUCGUCUACGUGCUCCGCAAGAACCACCGCAUGAGCCAGCACACCUCGCAGGUCAAGCAGAAGGAGACGGUGCUCAACCUGAUGAAGACCGUCGUCAUGAUCCUGGGAUGUUUCGUGGUGUGUUGGACACCGGGGCUGGUGCUGCUGCUCCUGGAUGGAUUGUGUGAAUCCUGUGAUGUUCUGACCUACGAGAAGUACUUCCUGGUGCUGGCCGAGUGCAACUCCUUCAUGAACCCCAUCAUCUACUCCUACCGGGACAAGGACAUGCGCGACACCUUCAAACACAUCCUGUGCUUCCCGUGUCUGGGUCCUCAGCAGACGGGCGAGUUCUCGGGUGUGCACUUCAACACCGUCAAGCAGGAGCGGAGACGGCGUGUGCUGCAGGACUCGUGGCUCGUAUGUAGAUGAGCUUCAUUCAUUCUCUGUCUGUAGCGUCUCGGGCUGAUUCUCUCUGAGACAGCUGCUGUCUGGUUCUGCACGCGGGGCAUGAGCUGCACACCUGCUGCUGUCACCGGCGGAUGUUUUUUCACCAUGGGUUUCUCUCGUUUGUCCUCUUCAGUUCCUGUGUGUGUGUGUGUGACGCACAUGUUUGUGAAUGCUCCUCUAACGGCUGUGUAAUGAUGCAGUCGUGUUUCUGCCUGACAGAUGUGCAGCGUUCACUGCUGUGACCCAACCUCGUAAACAUUAGGUCUGUGGUUGAAGUGUGUCACGCGAGCAUCCGCUCUCUCUCUCUCUCUCUCUCUCACACACACACACACACACACUCUCUCUCUCUCACACACACACACACUCUCUCUCUCUCUCACACACACACACACACACACACACACACACUCUCUCUCUCUCUCUCUCUCUCUCUCUCACACACACUCUCUCUCUCUCUCACACACACACUCUCACACACACUGAGGUCCUCCGGUGGUGUUCUGGUGUAACUGCAUCACUCUGUAAUACCUCACCAGCAUGUGGCUGUACUCUCGGGCUCCUGCAGUAACAUCUAACACGUCCCUGGGUCUGUUACAGCUUCCAUCUGUUCUAUCAUAAGAGUUUUAUCCCUCUGAAUCGUACCGAAGCCUCUCAUCAUCUCAUGAUUUCAGUGUCUUACUGAAGAACUGGUUCAGACGAUGAGGAUGAUUGUGUGGUUUAAUCGCCUCACACAGAUAUCUGCUUCUGAUCGUGGUUUAUAGAUGCUCUGAUUCUAACCUGAUCAGGCUCGUAAGACUCGUGACGCAGACGGAGAGCAGGCGAACAGAGGACAGCUGGUGCUGAAGGAGACGGAGAACAUGCUGGACUCCAGCGAGAGCUGAGGAACGUCUGACUGGGAAUCAGUUCCUUGUACAUAUGGUUUUAUUUAAUUCCUGUCCUCCUGUUGAAGCUGGCGCAUGGUUUUUAUGUUGUACUUGAAAGCAGGCGACAGACAUGACUCGUGUUUGCAGUCGUCUGCACUAAUACUGAUUACUAUCCUCUUCUCCAGAAGCUCCUUUCUUUAUUUAAAAACAUUAGAAUCAAUGAAAUGAAUCAAUGUUGUGUAGAUUUUAAGGCAUUCUCAGUUGAAUAAACCCUUUUCUGAGUAA